CAGGACAGCAGGGACGAAUCCAAUCACCAUUAUCUGACCCAUUUUAGCAUCAGGAGGCGAGAAAAACAACCUUUUCUUCAAGAAUUCAAGGCUCAUCUCAAUGGGAGCUCGGGGACUUUGGAUGCACGCAACUCCUCUCAGUUCCCCGUCUGACUCAUGAUGAGGUCCACUCUUCAGGUCUGC